GAUGAACGCUGGCGGCGUGCCUAAUACAUGCCAGUCGAGCGAACGGACGAGAAGCUUGCUUCUCUGAUGUUAGCGGCGGACGGGUGAGUAACACGUGGAUAACCUACCUAUAAGACUGGGAUAACUUCGGGAAACCGGAGCUAAUACCGGAUAAUAUUUUGAACCGCAUGGUUCAAAAGUGAAAGACGGUCUUGCUGUCACUUAUAGAUGGAUCCGCGCUGCAUUAGCUGGUUGGUAAGGUAACGGCUUACCAAGGCAACGAUGCAUAGCCGACCUGAGAGGGUGAUCGGCCACACUGGAACUGAGACACGGUCCAGACUCCUACGGGAGGCAGCAGUAGGGAAUCUUCCGCAAUGGGCGAAAGCCUGACGGAGCAACGCCGCGUGAGUGAUGAAGGUCUUCGGAUCGUAAAACUCUGUUAUUAGGGAAGAACAUAUGUGUAAGUAACUGUGCACAUCUUGACGGUACCUAAUCAGAAAGCCACGGCUAACUACGUG
rnacentral:rRNA from 1 species